GACGAACGCUGGCGGCGUGCCUAAUACAUGCAAGUUGAACGCUUCUUUCUUAUCGAACUUCGGUUCACCAAGAAAGAGGAGUAGCGAACGGGUGAGUAACACGUGGGUAACCUGCCCAUCAGCGGGGGAUAACACUUGGAAACAGGUGCUAAUACCGCAUAAUGCUUUUUCUCACAUGAGAGAAAGCUGAAAGGCGCUUUUGCGUCACUGAUGGAUGGACCCGCGGUGCAUUAGCUAGUUGGUAGGGUAACGGCCUACCAAGGCAACGAUGCAUAGCCGACCUGAGAGGGUGAUCGGCCACACUGGGACUGAGACACGGCCCAGACUCCUACGGGAGGCAGCAGUAGGGAAUCUUCGGCAAUGGACGAAAGUCUGACCGAGCAACGCCGCGUGAGUGAAGAAAGGUUUUCGGGAUCGUAAAGCUCUGUUGUUAGAGAA
rnacentral:rRNA from 1 species